rnacentral:rRNA from 1 species
CCCUUAGAUGUUCUGGGCCGCACGCGUGCUACACUGAGUGGAUCAGCGGGUCAGGUUGCGCGAAAGUGUUUCCUAAUCUUUAAAUCCGCUCGUGAUGGGGAUUGACGGUUGCAAUUUUCCGUCAUGAACGAGGAAUACCUUGUAAGCGCGGGUCAUCAUCCCGCGCUGAAUACGUCCCUGCCCUUUGUACACACCGCCCGUCGCUCCUGCCGAUUGAGUGGUCCGGUGAGGCUUUGGGAUCUGAGCGGAAAGAGCGUUUCGCUGUUUCUGCCCGGAAAACUCAGUCGAACCUUAUCAUUUAGAGGAAGGAGAAGUCGUAACA